UCGUUUGACGUUAGCUGCAGAAGAAGCACCGGCUAACUCCGUGCCAGCAGCCGCGGUAAUACGGAGGGUGCGAGCGUUAAUCGGAAUUACUGGGCGUAAAGCGCAUGCAGGUGGUUUGUUAAGUCAGAUGUGAAAGCCCGGGGCUCAACCUCGGAAUAGCAUUUGAAACUGGCAGACUAGAGUACUGUAGAGGGGGGUAGGAAUUUCAGGUGUAGCGGUGAAAUGCGUAGAGAUCUGAAGGAAUACCGGUGGCGAAGGCGGCCCCCUGGACAGAUACUGACACUCAGAUGCGAAAGCGUGGGGAGCAAACAGGAUUAGAUACCCUGGUAG
rnacentral:rRNA from 1 species